GAUCAUGGCUCAGGACGAACGCUGGCGGCGUGCCUAAUACAUGCAAGUAGAACGCUGAAGAGAGGAGCUUGCUCUUCUUGGAUGAGUUGCGAACGGGUGAGUAACGUGUAGGUAACCUGCCUUGUAGCGGGGGGAUAACUAUUGGAAACGAUAGCUAAUACCGCAUAACAAUGGAUGACACAUGUCAUUUAUUUGAAAGGGGCGAAUUGCUCCACUACAAGAUGG
rnacentral:rRNA from 1 species